rnacentral:misc_RNA from 1 species
AACCUUAUGGACCUGCGGGCGUAUACCUGCGGAAGGAUCAUUACAGUGCCUGCGGGCGCUGGGUAACCCCCGGCGUCUCGCGCGCGACCUGGCCACCCGUGUCUACUUUACCUUUUGUUGCUUCGGCGGGCCCGCCCACCCGGGCCGCUAGGGGUGCGCCGCGGCGCAGCGCCACGGCGCACCCCCGGCCAGUGCCCGCCGAGGGACCAUCAGAACUCUUGCGAAUCAGUGACGUCUGAG